GUGUGUGUGGAAGGAGAGAAGGUCUGCGAUCCCCUUGAUGAGGAUGGAAGAAGCCCUCAGGCCUGGCAGUGCCAGCACCGGUGAGGCACUGUCGCCUAUGGUGUGUCCUCUGACCAUUUUUUUUC